rnacentral:rRNA from 1 species
GAUGAACGCUGGCGGCGUGCCUAAUACAUGCAAGUCGAGCGAACAGACGAGGAGCUUGCUCCUCUGACGUUAGCGGCGGACGGGUGAGUAACACGUGGAUAACCUACCUAUAAGACUGGGAUAACUUCGGGAAACCGGAGCUAAUACCGGAUAAUAUAUUGAACCGCAUGGUUCAAUAGUGAAAGACGGUUUUGCUGUCACUUAUAGAUGGAUCCGCGCCGCAUUAGCUAGUUGGUAAGGUAACGGCUUACCAAGGCAACGAUGCGUAGCCGACCUGAGAGGGUGAUCGGCCACACUGGAACGGAGACACGGUCCAGACUCCUACGGCAGGCAGCAGUAGGGAAUCUUCCGCAAUGGGCGAAAGCAUGACGGAGCAACGCCGCGUGGGUGAUGAAGGUCUUCGGAUCGUAGAACUCUGUUAUUAGGGAAGAACAAAUGUGUAAGUGACUAUGCGCGUCUUGACGGUACCUAAUCAGAAAGCCACGGCUAACUACGUG